ACCACUUCUCAGCCUUUUGGCUAAGAUCAAGUGAUUUUAAAUGUUAUCUAAUAUAGUCAGUGUGGCAUGUAUGACAAUAUUUUUUACAUGUGAAUUUGCCUAGUUUUCCCUUCUGCCCUAGAAUAAGUUUAGUUCUU
rnacentral:snRNA from 1 species